UACGUAGGGUGCGAGCGUUAAUCGGAAUUACUGGGCGUAAAGCGUGCGCAGGCGGUUUUGUAAGCCAGAUGUGAAAUCCCCGGGCUUAACCUGGGAAUGGCAUUUGGGACUGCAAGGCUUGAGUGUGGCAGAGGAGACUGGAAUUCCUGGUGUAGCAGUGAAAUGCGUAGAUAUCAGGAGGAACACCGAUGGCGAAGGCAGGUCUCUGGGCUGACACUGACGCUCAUGCACGAAAGCGUGGGAGCAAC
rnacentral:rRNA from 1 species